AAUGGAUCAUAUGUUCAUGUCUUGUUUAGUUGCACUGAUGUGAAUCCUGCAGCAGCUGAGUGCACAGCAAAGACAGCCUCCUGUAACAGUGUCUCCCUGCAGCCUGUUAUCACAUCCCUGGUACGACUCUUAUGAUCAUAUUUCAGACACUAACACUCAUUCUGUGCGAGAAUUAGGAUCAGUAAAGCAGCUCUCCUCUCUUUUAGGUGGACUCUCUUCUGCUACGUCUCAGUGGGAAAGUGGACGUCCUGCUUUUUAACCCUCCAUAUGUGGUGACCCCUUCAGAGGAGGUGGGACAGCUCAUUACAGGAGUUAAUUUAGAGUUUAUUGAAGAGGAUAUUGAAAGGUCUUGUAUGGUUAUUUCAGGUUGGAAGCAGGGGUAUAGAAGCAGCCUGGGCUGGUGGAAAGCGAGGCCGAGAGGUCACAGACAGAUUCCUGCCUUUGGUAUCUGAGCUGCUCUCCGAUAAAGGACUUUUCUACCUCAUCGCCAUCGCUGAGAAUGAUCCAGGUAAACAUGAAGCCG